GGUCCUCUGGUCUAAAGGCUAGGACAUAGCCCUUUCACGGCUAAAAUGCUCGGUUCGAGUCCGGCGGGGAUCA
rnacentral:tRNA from 1 species